GGGCGUCGCGUCGCUGCUGGCAGUGGCGGACCAGAUGGCGCUCGUGUCAUCGUCAUCCUUUGCCGCCCAUCCCCGUCCACCCGCUGCCGCCACCGUAUCCCCAAAACCCCAUCUCCCCUGACUGACACACUCCACGGUCCACGCCCCCAUCCGUACGUCUGCUUCCUGAGCUCGCCGGCGAUGGAGGCCACCGGCCGCGGGGUGUUCCCGAACAAGCCCACCCUCCCGCCGGGCCCCAAGAGGCGGGCGCCCCCGUCCCAGCAGACGCUCCUCCCGGCCUCCCCGCCGCCGCAGGCCCCCUCCUCGCUCCCGCUCGACUCCUUCCUCCUCCACCUCACCGCCGCGCCAGACCCGGCCCCCGUCCCGCGCCGGACCCACCAGCAGACACCGCACCACCAGCACCACCACCCCACCCCGACCCCGGCGAGCUCCUUCCUCUCCCCGGCCUCGCAGGCGCUGGUGCUCGAGCUCUCCGCCACGCCGCUCCCGGCCCUCCCGGCCUUCCUCGCCGCCCGCCGCGACGACCUCCUGCGGGCCGCCGACCUGCCGUCCCUGCUCAAGGCGCUCGAGCUCUCCGGCCACUGGGAGUGGGCGCUGGCGCUGCUCCGCUGGGCGCGCGCCGAGGGGGCCGCCGAGGGCGCCGCGCCGCUCGAGAUGGUCGUGCGCGCCCUCGGCCGCGAGGGCCGCCACGACGCCGUCUGCGCGCUGCUCGACGAAAUGCCGCUGCCGCCCGGCGCCCGGCUCGACGUCCGCGCCUACACCACCGUGCUCCACGCGCUCUCCCGCGAGGGCCGCUACGACCGCGCGCUCCGGCUCUUCGACGAGCUCCGGCGCGAGGGCGUCGCGCCCACCCGCGUCACCUACAACGUCGUGCUCGACGUCUACGGCCGCAUGGGCCGCUCCUGGCCGCGCGUCGUCGCGCUGCUCGACGAGAUGAGGGCCGCGGGGGUGGAGCCCGACGGGUUCACCGCCAGCACCGUCAUCGCCGCCGCGGGCCGGGACGGCCUCGUCCACGAGGCUGUUGCCUUCUUCGAGGACCUCAAGGCCCGCGGCCACGCCCCGUGCGUCGUCACCUACAAUGCCCUCCUCCAGGUGUUUGGCAAGGCCGGGAACUACACGGAGGCUCUGCGAGUGAUCAAGGAGAUGGAGGACGCUGGCUGCAAGCCUGACGCCGUCACAUACAAUGAGCUCGCUGGGUCGUAUGCCAGGGCUGGGUUCUACCAGGAGGCCGCCAAAUGCCUCGACACCAUGAUCGACAAGGGGCUACUGCCCAACACGUUCACCUACAACACCAUAAUGACGGCGUAUGGGAAUGCUGGGAAGGUGGACGAGGCGCUGGCCCUGUUCGACCGGAUGAAGAAGAAUGGGUUUGUCCCAUACACAAACACAUACAAUCUUGUCCUCGGCAUGCUGGGGAAGAAAUCAAGGUUCGCGGCGAUGCUAGAGACGCUCGGGGAGAUGUCGAGGAGCGGAUGCACGCCGAACCGGGUGACAUGGAACACGCUGCUGGCGGUCUGCGGGAAGCGAGGCAUGGAGAGCUAUGUCACUCGGGUGCUUGAGGGGAUGAAGUCCUGCAGGGUUGAGCUGUGCCGAGACACCUACAACACAUUGAUAUGUGCUUAUGGCCGGUGUGGUUCGAGGGCCAACGCGUUCAAGAUGUAUGAUGAAAUGACCGCUGCCGGAUUCGCCCCUUGCCUCACCACAUACAAUGCGUUGCUGAACGUGCUGUCUCGCCAAGGGGAUUGGACCGCUGCGCGUUCCAUCGUAAGCAAGAUGAAGAGCGAGGGUUUCAAGCCCAACGACAUGUCAUACUCGUUGCUGCUCCAGUGCCACGCAAAGGGGGGCAAUGCCGCGGGGAUCGAGGCCAUCGAGAAGGAAGUCUACCAAGGUACCAUCUUCCCGAGCUGGGUCAUUCUGAGAACCCUCGUGAUCGCCAACUUCAAGUGCCGGCGGCUGGAGGGGAUCGAGAGGGCGUUCCAGGAGGUGAAGACCCGGGGUCACAAACCGGACCUCGUCAUCCUCAACUCCAUGCUGUCAAUAUAUGCGAAGAAUGGGAUGUACAGCAAGGCAAUGGAGAUGUUCGAGUCGAUCGAGCAGUCCGGUCUGAGCCCGGACCUGAUCACCUACAACAGCCUGAUGGACAUGUACGCCAAGAGCAACGAGCCCUGGGAGGCGGAGAAGAUCCUGAAGCGGCUCAGGACCUCCCAGUCCCACCAGCAGCAGCAGCUGAAACCCGACGUGGUGUCGUACAACACGGUCAUCAACGGGUUCUGCAAGGAGGGGCUGAUCAAGGAGGCCCAGAGGGUGCUGUCGGAGAUGAUCGCCGACGGCGUGGCCCCCUGCGUGAUCACCUACCACACGCUGGUCGGAGGGUACGCGAGCCGGGAGAUGUUCGCGGAGGCGAGGGAGGUGGUCGGGUACAUGAUCCAGCGCAAGCUGAGGCCCAUGGAGCUGACCUACAAGCGGGUGGUGGACAGCUACUGCAGGGCCAAGCGGUAUGAGGAGGCCCGCGACUUCCUCGCCGUGGUCGCGGAGACCGACCCGAAAUCCGACCAGAAGCUGCUGGGCGCGCUCGCGGCCCGCGUGGAGAGCGCCCAGUUCGGGAGAUGAGACGGUGACCAAGGUGCUUGUUCAUAGAGCUGUGUUGUUGCGUGCGCGCGCAACGCCAAUCGCUACCGUCGCUGCGACCCGCAGAUGAAUCCUAACUGGUUACGCGCGCAACGCCAAUCGCUACCGUCGCUGCGACCCGCCGAUGCGAGUGGCCGUGGCCCACCUGGUCCCAUGCAAUUAUCCCUCGUCUUAUUUUUUCACCGGCAUACAGUUUGAAUACAGUCAAAUCGUAUCUGUACCAUGCCUGCCCAUACCUACAUCGUACCCGCUCGCCCUUUUCUUUCUCUCCACACCCACGCCCGUACUCUCUCUCCAUUAAUCUCAUCUCUCUCUCUCUCUGUCUCCAUUAUCUCAAGAUCCAUCCAGCCCUUCCUCCUCCAUGGCCGGCCACCCUCCCGAUCUGGAGGUCUCCGACCAGAUCAUUCCCCUCCCCACCACGGCAUGCGGCAUGGAGUCCCGGGAUCGCUCGCCGUCAACCAAUGCUAUGCGGAUCUGGCGAGUCCUAACUCACCAAGAUCCCAUGACGGACAAGGUUUGUUGCGCCUCCUCCUGAAGCUGUCGAGGACCAUGAACGCCACUUCCUCUCACCGGCUCAGCACCAACACUUUCACUACCCGCAGGUGUACAAAAUUGCUUGUUCCCGGAUGGAUAUAGUAGCACAUGGAUCCAUCACCUUUGGUCUUGUCUGGUGUUCUCCCGUGCGUGACGAAUUUCGAAGGAUGAAACAGAGGCUGAGCUGGCCCUCUCCUCCUCUCAUGCCGACAUCGGCAUAUUGCCCUGCUUCUUCCACGGCUUGAUGAACCUACCUUCGCCAGCUUGAUUGAUUUUAAUCGAGAGAAAACUAGUUCGAUUGAGUUUUAUCUUAAAAAGGCUAGUCAUCGCCUGAUGGCCAUUGUAUAGAUAAAAUAUGCUGCAGUUUAUUCUUCCUGUACUACUGCAAUAAGGCAACGUUUCAUCACUAUUCAGUUCUAUGCAAUUCUCUUUCUGUUUUUUGCUCUGGUUCAUGAGCAGUAAAUUUUAAAGUUUCCAA